rnacentral:rRNA from 1 species
CUCCAUGUGUAGCGGUGGAAUGCGUAGAUAUAUGGAAGAACACCAGUGGCGAAGGCGGCUCUCUGGUCUGCAACUGACGCUGAGGCUCGAAAGCAUGGGUAGCGAACAGGAUUAGAUACCCUGGUAGUCCAUGCCGUAAACGAUGAGUGCUAAGUGUUGGGAGGUUUCCGCCUCUCAGUGCUGCAGCUAACGCAUUAAGCACUCCGCCUGGGGAGUACGACCGCAAGGUUGAAACUCAAAGGAAUUGACGGGGGCCCGCACCAGCGGUGGAGCAUGUGGUUUAAUUCGAAGCAACGCCAAGAACCUUACCAGGUCUUGACAUCUAGUGCAAUCUGUAGAGAUACGGAGUUCCCUUCGGGGACGCUAAGAC